UGGCCCUGUGCCCACUUUGGGUUGUUUGUCACUCCACUUGGUAAGAGACGAUGUUUAAAGACAAGUCUUGGUGCUGGAACAUAACACUGUUGAAGGCACAGGUUUGGCAGCCAUCACCAAAGGCUGAUUUGGACUGCAAGUGCAACCCAAAUAACCCAUCUAAUGCACAACAGCAUAGAGAGAGUCUCAAGGGUUGUUCAACAGUGAUCUCCAAAAAAGUUAAACAUUGACGGGCUCUGAGCAAGUCUAGUUAAAGCUGUUGGCAAUUUGAUUGCUAUGGGGCAAUGAGAGGAGCUGGCAGCAGGGAAGGAGAAGCCAGGGCCACUUCUACCAAGGAUCAGAUUCCUCAUGUUCACACGGGCUUGGUAAAGUGCACUGGGAUUUUGUUCAAGGAAAUGCCAGGACAUGUAAGCUUGCCAGUUUGCAGAGCAGCUUUCUCACCUGCUUGGCCCUUACAGCCAAGCUACCAUGUGGCUGUGUAAAGGCAGGAGAGCAAGGAGACCAAGGUCAAACCUAGCAAUGCUCAAGGUAGCAUGGGUGACAGGUGACAGAUAAAGUGAGAAGCCAUGCAUGGGAGGAGGUUCUGAUCCCCUCAAAAGCAAGCCAAACUGACAACUAUUAAA